UCCAGACCUUGGGAUAGAGAAAAGACAGACUCAAAUUUUCCCCAAAUAAAAACACGGAAUAAUAAAAGUUUACUGGCAUUUAUUAAUGCAUACGAUGAGGUAAGCUAGAGGCAGGAGAGGUUUUAUGUCCCUAAAAGAUUAAUCUUUAGAAGGUCUGUGACAUAAUCAAACGGAGUUUCUUGCUGAAGGUGCUCUUGUAGGCAAGAAUGGAGAGUGAUUUCAUAAAUCUCAUCACGCGGUGUGUUUCCACCCCUUCUUAUAAUGUUUUUUGGAAUGGGCAUCUUAUUGAUUAUUUUGUUCCAAAGAGAGGACUCUGCCAAGGAGUCACCCUACUUGUUUGUCUCGUAUUGUUUGAACAGGUUAUCACAUUUUCUUCUCUCCUAAAGUUCCCGAGGCUCUAAGGAGGAAACUUAGCUUGCUGAAUGGCACGAAGAUUGCAGAGGAGAUUGGCCAUGUAAAGGGGCAGUCAACCUAUUCCUUGCAGUACCUUCAACAAUGAUGGUUCAAUCUUUGCUUACUCGGUCUGCUAUGACUGGAGUAAAGGGGCUGAAAAUCAUAAUCCUGCGACAGCAAAGACUUAAAUCUUCCUGCAUUUGCCACAGGUAU